UUAAUGUUAGGAACAAUCAAAGGUUAACAAAUUCCCAUCUGAUUUAUCUGAAUAUUUAUCCAGAACAAAAGAUUUGUAGAUGCAUGUUUGCAAGGUGGAUGAUGAAAUUAGUAUUACCAUUGUUUACUAUCUUUUGAAAGCAAAGCAAUUGUUACCAUUCGUCUUUCAAAUCAUGGAAUAGGUAAAAUAAGAAUAAUAUGAUAAACUGUCUGAACAGUCUCUAUUAAUACCAAUAAGGAAAUGUUUUCAGAUAUAACUCUAAAACCAGGUAAUUUAAAUGUUGUGAACAAAUAUACACUUGAAUGGUUAAGCUAUAACUUGUUUACUUUGAAAAAAUCUGUACUUUUUAAAAAAAAGUCUGAAAAGGCAAUUACUGAUAAAAACAUGUUAACUU
rnacentral:lncRNA from 1 species